AGUAACACGUAAGCAACCUGCCCUUAAGUGAGGAAUAACUCUGAGAAAUCGGAGCUAAUACCCCAUGUGAUGGUGAAGGUAAUGCUUCAUCAUUAAAGCCUUCGGGCGCUUAUGGAGGGGCUUGCGUCUGAUUAGCUAGUUGGUAGGGUAACGGCCUACCAAGGCUGUGAUCGGUAGCUGGUUUGAGAGGAUGAUCAGCCACACUGGGACUGAGAUACGGCCCAGACUCC
rnacentral:rRNA from 1 species